GACGUAGGAGGCGAGCGUUGUCCGGAUUUACUGGGCGUAAAGGGCGUGUAGGCGGCAUAGCAAGUUGGCUGUGAAAUCCCUUGGCUUAACUGGGGGGGGUCGGUCAAAACUGCUAAGCUGGAGGCCGGUAGGGGGAGACGGAAUUCCCGGUGUAGUGGUGAAUGCGUAGAUAUCGGGAGGAACACCGAUGGCGAAAGCGGUCUCCUGGGCCGGUCCUGACGCUGAGGCGCGAAAGCGCGGGGAGC
rnacentral:rRNA from 1 species